rnacentral:rRNA from 1 species
UACAGAGGUCUCAAGCGUUGUUCGGAUUCAUUGGGCGUAAAGGGUGCGUAGGUGGCGGGGUAAGUCCGGUGUGAAAUUUCGGAGCUUAACUCCGAAACUGCAUUUGAUACUGCCUUGCUUGAGGACUGGAGAGGAGACUGGAAUUUACGGUGUAGCAGUGAAAUGCGUAGAUAUCGUAAGGAAGACCAGUGGCGAAGGCGGGUCGCUGGACAGUUCCUGACACUGAGGCACGAAGGCUAGGGGAGCAAACGGG